AGUAAUACAUAAGUAACCUGCCCUAGACAGGGGGAUAACUAUUGGAAACGAUAGCUAAGACCGCAUAGGUACGGACACUGCAUGGUGACCGUAUUAAAAGUGCCUCAAAGCACUGGUAGAGGAUGGACUUAUGGCGCAUUAGCUGGUUGGCGGGGUAACGGCCCACCAAGGCGACGAUGCGUAGCCGACCUGAGAGGGUGACCGGCCACACUGGGACUGAGACACGGACCAA
rnacentral:rRNA from 1 species